rnacentral:rRNA from 1 species
AUUGAACGCUGGCGGCAUGCUUUACACAUGCAAGUCGAACGAGUGGCGAACGGGUGAGUAUUAUAUCGGAACGUACCGAGUUAUGGGGGAUAACCAAUCGAAAGAUUGGCUAAUACCGCAUAUUAUUCGAGCGGCCGAUAACUGAUGUGCUAGUUGGGGGGGUAAAGGCCGACCACGGCGACGAUCAGUAGCGGGUCUGGGAGGACGAUCAGCCACACUGGGACUGGUACACGGCCCAGACGCCUACGGGAGGCAGCAGUGGGGAAUGUUGGACAAUGGGGGCAACCCUGAUCCAGCCAUGCCGCGUGUAUGAAGAAGGCCUUCGGGUUGUAAAGUACUUUUGUUAGGGAAGCGGUACCUAAAGAAUAAGCACCGGCUAACUACGUGCCAGCCGCCGCGGUAAUUC